UUCCUACGGGACGCAGCAGUGGGGAAUAUUGCACAAUGGGGGAAACCCUGAUGCAGCGACGCCGCGUGAGUGAAGAAGUAUUUCGGUAUGUAAAGCUCUGUCAGCAGGGAAGAAAAUGACGGUACCUGACCAAGAAGCCCCGGCUAACUACGUGCCAGCAGCCGCGGUAAUACGUAGGGGGCAAGCGUUAUCCGGAUUUACUGGGUGUAAAGGGAGCGUAGGCGGUUUAGCAAGUCAGAAGUGAAAGCCCGGGGCUCAACUCCGGGACUGCUUUUGAAACUGUUGAACUAGAUUGCAGGAGAGGU
rnacentral:rRNA from 1 species